UCUGAAGGCUUGAUAGUAAAGUCCCCAGUGGCAUAUGUUGUAAAUCGUUGUCUUUUUUUAUAGGUUUUAGGAUAGAAAAAUGCCACCUACCUGAUGAGAGAGGUUGCAGCUGACAGCUUGAGUGUCCUAACUACAUUAAAUAUAACAAAAAGCUGUUCCCUUUCCUGAAUAAUUUACAUGGCUGCAUGGAAGAGAGGUACUGUGGACCCUUCCUUGCUUAACGAGCAGCAGCGUGAAAUGUCUUUUUCUCCGAAACACGUGCCUAACUGUCCCUUCCACUCUGAUAACUAUAAAUACGUGGGACUGUUGUAUGCACGUGCAGACGUUUCUUAUUCCUAGAGCAGGAUACAGCUCUCUUGUGCCACAUCAGGGCUUUGAGCGAGUAAAUAAGUCUGUUGCUAUUCAUAAAGCCUCUCUAUUCUAUUCAAACACAAAAGAAAAUCCAUGAGCUACUUUUUAGGAGCACAGUGAAACUGUCUGGUAUCUGUAAAAAAAAAAAAAAAAAGUGCUUGCAGCUCUGGACAGUAUCAGAUCUUGGUUCAGCUCCAGGCUCUGCCAUUAGCAGUGGUGACCUCAGGCUGGUUGUUGCAUUUUUGAGCCUCCGUUUUCCUCUCUGUAACACCAAAGUAACUGCUUCCUUUUUGUUUUAUCUGCUCUGAGUUGUUUCAGGCAGCAUGUGUCGCUCCUGCAAAUAACACGCAACACUGCUGCAAGAACUGCUGGGGCGCGCUGGCGGCCGGCCUCUCAUCAGCCAGCGAGGGGCUGACCAGGCGAGCGGCGGAUGUUGGGGUCGAUGAUUCAGAUGGUGACAGGAAACCAGAGACUGGUUUACAAUCCCCAGGAGGAACCAGCUCCAGCAAUUGCGGCUGUGAGCUGAGGAGAUGGGGUGGCCGGGCGAGAGCGACUGAUGCUGCAGCUACUAAGCGAGAAAAGAAGCAGAACAAACGGAGGAGUCAGCUCCAAAACCAGCCGAGGUUCGAGGUGGUUCGAUCCCGUGCUACUAUAACGAGAAGGCUAGAACAAAAUAAGGAACCAGAAAACUUACCAGGGAUAAGGAAAGCCAGCGAGGAACUCAAUACCGCCCGUCAUAUUGGAAGUGGUAAGCAUUUCUACCAAGAUGCUCAUCUAUUUAAAGCUCUGUCGGUCUACGCAGGAGUGGGGGAACUACCUAAUGCAAAAUUUAGAAAUGGGAACGUUGCAGAUCUCUGCUCGUGGUGACGGCUGGGAGCUCCCAGCAGCUUUGGGAAAACGGAGCCUCCGAGAGGACGUUCAUUCACGGCCAGCGCCCAGGCCCCGGGCAGGGCAUGGUGGGGGGUUAUCUUGGAAACAAGCUGGACGAUGAUAAAACUAAUUCCCGUGAUCAGAACCUACCCAUUAUGCUUGUGGCUGGUCUACCCAGGGGCUCCAGGGGCAGUUGAUAAGAACUAGCCAUGAUUCAACUUUAAAAUCCAGUGGUUGUCUCCCGAGCCAGGCGCAAGGGGCUGG
rnacentral:lncRNA from 1 species